rnacentral:rRNA from 1 species
UACGUAGGGGGCAAGCGUUGUCCGGAAUCAUUGGGCGUAAAGAGCGUGUAGGCGGCUCGAUAAGUCUGCUGUGAAAGUCCAGGGUUCACCCUGGAAGGCCGGUGGAAACUGUCGGGCUAGAAUCCGGAAGAGGCGAGUGGAAUUCCCGGUGUAGCGGUGAAAGUGCGCAGAUAUCGGGAGGAACACCGAAUGGCGAAGGCAGCUCGCUGGGACGGUAUUGACGCUGACGACGCGAAAGCGUGGGGAG